rnacentral:rRNA from 1 species
CUUAACCUACGGGGGGCAGCAGUGGGGAAUAUUGCACAAUGGGCGAAAGCCUGAUGCAGCAACGCCGCGUGAAGGAAGAAGGGUUUCGGCUCGUAAACUUCUAUCAACAGGGACGAAAGAAAUGACGGUACCUGAAUAAGAAGCCCCGGCUAACUACGUGCCAGCAGCCGCGGGAAUACGUAGGGGGCAAGCGGUAUCCGGAAUUACUGGGUGUAAAGGGUGGGGAGGCGGCAUGGGAAGCCAGAUGUGAAAGCCUUGGGCUUAACCCGGUGAUUGCAUUUGGAACUAUCAAACU